rnacentral:snRNA from 1 species
GAGGUGUCAGAAAAGUUACCA